rnacentral:rRNA from 1 species
UAACACUGGGUAACCUGCCCAUCAGAGGGGGAUAACAUUCGGAAACGGAUGCUAAAACCGCAUAGGUCCUUUAACCGCAUGGUUGAAGGAGGAAAAGAGGCGCAAGCUUCUGCUGAUGGAUGGACCCGCGGUGCAUUAGCUAGUUGGUGAGGUAACGGCUCACCAAGGCCGUGAUGCAUAGCCGACCUGAGAGGGUGAUCGGCCACAUUGGGACUGAGACACGGCCCAA